rnacentral:rRNA from 1 species
GCUUGUCUCAAAGAUUAAGCCAUGCAUGUUCAAGUAUAGCAAGUGUACAGUGAAACUGCGAAUGGCUCAUUAAAUCAGUUAUAAUUUAUUUGAUAGUGAAAUUGUACAUGGAUAACCGUGGCAAUUCUAGGGCUAAUACAUGCGUCAAUGGUCGGUCGACCAGUAUUUAUUAGAUACAAAGCCAGCCGUCAGGAUCAGGUGAAUCAUGAUAACCAAACGAACCGCAUGCGCAAGCGGCGGUGGUUCAUUCAAGUUUCUGCCCUAUCAGCUUUCGAUGGUAGGGUAUUGGCCUACCAUGGCGUUAACGGGUAACGGAGAAUUAGGGUUCGAUUCCGGAGAGGGAGCCUGAGAAAUGGCUACCACAUCCAAGGAAGGCAGCAGG